GCUGAGUGCGGUGGCGCACGCCUGUAAUCCUGCGACUGGGAGGCCGAGGCCGGAGGAUUGCUUGAGCUCAGGAGUUCUGGCUGCAGUGUGCUAUGCCAAUUGGGUGUCCGCACUAAGUUUGGCAUCAAUAUGGCAAUCCUGGGGGAGCCAGGGGUCACCAGGUUGCCUAAGGAGGGGUGAACCGGCCCAGGUUGGAGACAGAGCAGGUCAAAACUCCCCUGCCAAGCAGUAGUGGGACUGCACCUGUGAACAGCCCCUGCCGCCUAGCCUGGGCAACACAGUGGGACACGAUCUCU
rnacentral:SRP_RNA from 1 species